rnacentral:piRNA from 1 species
UAUGAUGCCAGUCAGGAUUUGACCUGACACAA